ensembl:lncRNA
GUCAAUGUAUGGCAAAACCAAUACAGUAUUGUAAAGUAAAAUAAAGUAAAAAUAAAAAUUAAAAAAAAAUUAAAAUGUAGAUCCUGAAUUUAAAAAAAAAGUAAAAAUUAAAAUUAAAAAAAAAUAAAUAAAAUUGAUGUAUUAACUUGGCACCCUGUCAGGCAUGCAAUAAAUGACCCACAAAAUGCUAAAAAAAAAACAAAUUUUUUUUAACUGUAAUAAAUUCCAAUUAUAAAGAUAUUAUUUAUAUUCAUUAAAAUGUUUUCUAUAUAAAAUAAACUUUGUAUGCUUAGUCACUCAGUUGUGUCUGACUCUGCAACCUCAUGCACUGUAGCCCGCCAGGCUCCUCUGUCCAUGGGAUUUUCCAGGCAAGAGUACUGGAGUGUGUUUCCAUUUCCUACUCCAGGGUAUCUUACUGACCUAGGGAUCGAACGUCCAUCUCCUACAUUGGCAGGCGGAUUCUUUACCACUGUGCCACCUGGGAAGCCCAACCUUUAUGCAUAACAAACAGAAAUAUUGCAUUUUUCAAGUCUCAACUGUUUUAAAUGCAAACUAAAAAUGUCAAAUGGCCACCUAAAUGACAGAGAUGAAGAAACUAAAAUUCUGUUUCUUCAUAUGACAGUCACUGGACUAUUGUUUUUUUGAAUCUGCCAUUUCAGUGCAGAAAUAUGUGAUAUGGCAGGGGUUAUUACAUAAACUGUGAAGCCAGACUGAACAAUUCUGAACCACUGCAAAUUAUUCCAAAAAUGAAACUUUGUAGCUGAAUCUGUUUCCUCGGGUAUAUAUAAAUGGGCAUUCGCCUACCAUGGAGAAUAAAUGUUUAAGUUACAAAAUUAGAAAUGUGCUAAUUUGAAGCCUACAGAUGUAUUAUUAAAACUUGACAGUGACUGCAGUAGUAAUUUAGAAUUUAGACUAACAAAGAAUUUUGGCAGAGGACUUCCCUGAUAGUCUAGUGGUGACGAAUCCACCUGCCAAUGCAGGAAAUGCAGGUUCCAUCCCUGGUCUGGGAGGAUCUCAUAUGCUAUGGGACAAGUAAGCCCAUGUGCCACAGCUACUGAGCUCCCUUGCCCUAGAGCCCACGCUCUGCAACAAGAGAAGCCACCACAAGGAGAAGCCCAAGCACCCCAACUAGAGAGUAGUCCCUGCUCGCUGCAACUGGAGAAAGCCCGAGCACAGUGGUGAAGCCCAGCACAGCCAAAAUAAAUAAAUAACAUUUUAAAAGUAUAUCCUUAAAAAAAAAAAAAAGAUUUUGGCGGGGAGGACUGUUUUGUCACUAACACUGUUUAAAUCUCCAGCGCAUGAUGAUAAUAAAACUCACACUGAGUUUAGUCAGUUUAUCCAUGUUUUUAAAUUCUCUACGGACAUCAUAUACCCUUACUGUCUGUACUGGAGCAGACCACUCCUAGUGCCCUGAGCUUUGGAUACCCGUUAAUCAGAGUCUUAAGUUGUUUUGAUUUCUCUUGUGUGUUUCCAUUUAUUGUAACCUACACUGAUGGCUCAGAUGGUAAAGAAUUUGUCUGCAAUGCAGGGGACCUGGGUUCAAUCCCUGGGCUGGGAAGAUCCCCUGGAGAAGAGAAUGGCUAUCCACUCCAGUAUUCUUACCCAGAGAAUCCCAUGGACAGAGGAGCCUGGUGGGCUACAGUCUGGGGUCGCAAACAGUCGGACAUGACUGAGUGAUUAACACUUUCACUUUCACAUUGAUGAAAGUGAAUUACAUAUUUUCUUCAGGUGGAGCCUGACCUCUGUCCUAAAUUCACUUGUAUCCCGCUGCCUGCAGUAUCUCCCACCAUCUGCCCUCCCCAUCUUCAUCCCUCAUUUCCAGUAACAUCAGCAGUUUCACCAAACGCUCGCUGUCAGGCAAGAGGCAGGAGGUCGUCCCUUUUUAUUAAGCUUUAGCUUUAUUAUAUUUCAGAAUCUUAACAGUAGGAAAUGUUAUUGGUGAAUCAACUCGACUUGCAUUUUCCAGCCCUGAUUAUGCUGUUCUGACCUCGUAUCCGCACAGGAAUAUCAGUGAUGUAUUGCCUGAGGACAAAAUGUGUUUCCAAAUAAAUUGGUUCGCAGAAGGGUAGCUGGAGUGACUUCUCGCUAUUCUGCAUCUUGAUUUUUUGUUGUUGUUAAUUAAUAUGAAGGAACAUAAUGCUCCCUCAAACUGUUAUAAGCAUAGAUGUAUUACCGCCAAAUGCCAAAUCCACUAAAUAUUAGGAAAUCUGGAGUGGUAUGAAAGUUCUUAAUAGCUAUCAAAGUAAGACGGUGGUUUUUUUUUUUUUAUAUACAUAUAUAUUUUAUUUUUAUUUUUUACUUUACAAUAUUGUAUUGGUUUUGCCAUACAUAAAUAUGAAUCCGCCACGGGUGUACACGUGUUUCCAAUCCUGAACCUCCCUCCCACCUCCCUCCCCAAGACAGUGUUUUAUAUGAGAUUUUCAAUGGCGGUAGAGUUAGAAGUCAUAGAUUUGCUUUUUAAAAUAUGAUUUUUAAAAAUUAGGUAUUUAUGGAUUUUUGCCUGCAUUGGGUCUUUGUUGCUGCACAUGGGCUUUCCCUAGUUGCAGUGAGUGGGGCUACUCUCUAGUUGAGGUGGUUUUGUUAUUUCAGAGCACAGGCUCUAGGCUAUAGGGCUUAGUUGCCCCACGGCAUGUGAGAUCCUCUUGGGCCAGGAAUGGAACCUGUGUCCCCUACAUUGGUAGGCAGAUUCUUAACCACUGGACCACAGGAAAGUCCUAGAUUUACUUUUAAUAUGAUCAGCUGAUGAAUGUUAAUAAUAGUUACUAUUUGUUGAGUGCUUACUAUGUGUGAGGCACUGUUCUAAGUACUUCAUAUGGGUUUUGCUGAAGUAGGUGCUCUUAUUGUUGGUGUUGUUUAGUCACUAAGUCAUGUCUAACUCUUUGCAACCCCAUGGACUAUAGCAAGCCAGGCUUCCCUGUCCUUCACCGUCUCCUGGAGCUUGUUCAGAUUCAUGUCCAUUGAGUCUGAAAUGUCAUCCAGCCGUCCUCUGUUGCCCUUUUCUCCUCCUGCCCUCAAUCUUUUUCAGCAUCAGAGCCUUUUCCAGUGAGUCUGCUCUUCACAUCAGGUGGCCACAGUAUUGGAGCUUUAGCUUUGGCAUCAGUCCUUUCAGUGAAUAUUCAGGGUUGAUUUCCUUUAGGAUUGACUGGUUUCAUCUACUUGUAGUCCAAGGGACUCUCAAGAAUCCUCCAGCACCACAGUUUGGUGAUCAGCCUUCUUUAUGGUCGAACUCUUAUGUCACAACUAUAGCUUUGACUAUGCAGACGGUUGUCAGCAAAGUGAUGUCUCUACUUUUUAAUGUGCUGUCUAGAUUUGUCAUUGCUUUCCUUUCAAGGAGUAAGCAUCUUUUAAUUUCAUGGCUGCAGUCACCAUCUGCUGUGACUUUGGAGCCCAAGAAAAUAAAAAUUUUCACUGCUUCCAUGAAGUGAUAGGACCAUAUAGCAUGAUCUUAGUUUUUUUUUAAUAUUGAGUUUUAAGCCAGCUUUUCCACUCUCCUCUUUUACCCUUAUCAAGAGGCUCUUUAGUUCCUCUACACUUUCAGCCAUUAGAGAGUUAUCAUUUGCAUAUCUGAGGUUGUUGAUAUUUCUCCCUGCAGUCUUGAUUCCAGCUUGUGAGUCAUCCAGCCUGGCAUUUCACAUAAUAUGAUCUGCAUAUAAGUUAAAUAAACAAGGUGACAAUAUACAACCUUGACGUACUCCUUUCCCAAUUUGGAACCAGUCUGUUGUUCCAUGUCUGGUUCUAACUGUUGCUCCUUGACCUGCAUACGUGUUUCUCAGGAGAUAGGUAAGGUGGUCUGGUAUUCCCAUCUCUUUAAGAAUAUUCCACAGUUUGUUGUUAUCCACAUAGUUAAAGGAUUUACCAUAGUCAAUGAGACAGAAGUAGAUAACAGCUGCUCUUAUUAUUUCCAUUGCAUACACGAGAGAACUGAGGCUUGGUGAAAGUGAAAGUCGCUCAGUUGUGUCCGACUCUUUGUGACUCCAUGGAGUGUAGCCCACCAGGCUGCCCUGUUCAUGGAAUUCUCCAGGAAGAGUACUGGAGUGGGUUGUCAUUUCCUUCUCAAGGGGAUUGUCCCCAUCCAGGGAUUGAACCCAGGUCUUCUGCAUUGCAGGCAGAUUCUUUACCAUCUGAGACACCAGGGAGGCUGUUAUUAUUCCCAUUUUAUAAACUGAGGCAUGGAGAGAUUUAAGCAAUCUUCUCCAUGUUACACAGUUAGUAGGUAGAAGGCCUGGAAUUCUAGUCUGGGCCAUUUGACUUCAGAUACCACACUAUUAACCACUGCAAUCCUCAGUAGUACUUAAAAGAACCAUUGGGUAUCACUUAGUUCUGGAAAUGCCAGAACCUGACAAACAUUCAGUAAAUGGUUACUGAAAUAAAAUCAAACUUCCCUAAUGGCUCUGUUGGUAAAGAAUCCACCUGCAAUGCAGGAGACUCAGGUUCCAUCCCUGGGUGGGGAAGAUCCCAUGGAGAAGGGAAUGGCAACCCAUUCUAGUAUUCUUGCCUGGAAAAUCCCAUGGACAGAGGAACCUGGUGGGCUACAGUCUAUUGAAUUGCAAAGCGUGGACAUGACUGAGCAACUAAACCACCAUACCGUUAAUCCAGAAUCUGAACACGUCCAAACUAAAGACAUUUUGUUCAUUGUUGUUAUUGUUCAGUGGCUCAGUUGUGUCUGACUCUUUGCAACCCUAUGGACUCUAGCAAUCUAGGCCUCUCUGUCCUUCAUCUAUAACUAGUAGGGCUUCCUUACUUAAAAAAAAAUUGUUAAUGAUGGAAAUCUCCAAACAUAUGCAAAAGUAGAGGGGAUAAUGGUACAGUGAACCCGUGCAAACCCAUCUCCCAGAUUUCACAUUUAUCAACACCUGACCACUCUUGUUUCCUCUAUAUCUGCCUCCUACUACCCUCACUGGGAUAAUUUAAAGCAAAUUUCAGGCAAGUUUUUCAAUAUGUAUUGAAACAGUAUACAAGCCCCUGUGUCCCCGUCUUAUGAAGUAAAUUUCUGACUAACUCUUAACAGUUGGAAAAUGUGAAGGUGUAGAAACACAGAAUAGCUGUUGGGUUGGGGAACUGCUAACAAUUUAGACUGUAAUUCCCGCAUUGCAGAAUCACCAAACCUCCAGUUCCCUGAAAGAUAUAGAUAAAGGCCUGACACACAUUCCUGAGUUGUGAGUUGUUUUUAUGGGAAGCAGGCCCCCUCCAGAUGAAAACUGUGACCACAAGACUAUAGACCCUAGACUGCUUGAAACCAGAAGGCUGAUGAAGCUUGAAACUCCACCUUGAUGCCAACCAAUCCAAGAAUUGUCCAUGAACUGAUCAUUCCCUGCUCCUUGAACACUAUAAAACACCUCACUACCCCCUGCAGGGUGAGUCACACAGUCUUAAGGGCAUUAGCCCACUUGUGGCCCCCUCUGCCUGGCAAAGCAAUAAAAGCUACUCUUUUCUACUUCUCCCAAACUCUUUUCUCCACAUUUCUUUUCAGCCCUGAUGUACAGAGGCCAAGUUCUAGCAACAGUAUUAUCCAAAAAGGACUCUGUUAAAAAUCACAUUAAAAUUAAUUAACUUGAUAUCCAACAGCUGCUGCUGCUGCUGCUGCUGCUAAGUCGCUUCAGUCGUGUCCGACUCUGUGUGACCCCAUAGACGGCAGCCCACCAGGCUCCCCCAUCCCUGGGAUUCUCCAGGCAAGAACACUGGAGUGGGUUACCAUUUCCUUCUCCAAUGCAGGAAAGUGAAAAGUGAAAGUGAAGUCACUGAGUCGUGUCCAACUCUCAGCGACCCCAUGGACUGCAGCCCACCAGACUCCUCCAUCCAUGGGAUUUUCCAGGCAAGAGUACUGGAGUGGGCUGCCAUUGCCUUCUCCAAUCCAAUAGCUAGCAGUGUUCAAAUUUUCCUAUUUCAUAAAUGUAUUUUAUUUUAUUAUUAAUUUUUGUCUUCGUUGCUACGCUUGGGCUUUCUCUAGUUGCAGUGAGCGGGGACUACUUUUUGUUGGGUACAGGCUUCUCAUUGUGACUUGUUGCGGAGCAUGGGCUCUAGGCACACCGCUUUCAGCAGUUGAGUGUGGGCUCAGUAGCUGUGGCGCACAGGCUCUUCUGGGACCAGGGAUUGAACCCAUGUCCGCUCACUGGCAGGCAGAUUCCCACCCACUGUACCACCAAGCAAGUCCCAUAAAUGGAUUUUAUAGUUAGUUUGUUUGAGUUAGGAUCCAAAUAAGAGUCUUGUGUUGCGUUUGGUUGAUAUAUUUCUUGAGUCUCUUAAUCCAUCAACAUUCCCUCUCUUCCUUUUGUUUUCCCUCUUAACCACUUGUUGAUGAAACAUGGUCAUUUGUUCUGUAGAAUUGUCUGUGUUGUCUUGCUCUACCUUGGAGUGAGAAAGAGUUACUUUUCAUUUCUGUAAAGUGUAGAAGAGGAGAGGAGAACAGUUGUGGACUGUGUUAUCCCUAAGUGGAACCAAUGGCUACUGGAAGGCAGUACAGGACAGCAGCCGCCUUGACAAUCCCAGUGUGUUCUUGGGGACCUCUGUCUGAGCAGUGAUCCUUUUAUCUUUUAUAUUCAUACUGAUAAUAAAGAGGCACAGAAAGAUACAGGAAUGCCUUCUGAAUUCUCAAAUAAUUAUCAAAUGAUACUGAUUAUGUGUUAAUUGAUUCAUUCUAAUUCUUUGAAAACUGAUAAAUUCACAGAUGUUUGAUAAAAUUAAUUUCAUUAACUGGGAUACAAUUUUAGAAUAUGCAAUGCUGUAUUUAUUCUUACAAUCUAGAAUUAGGAAAUGGAAACCUUUGUGUUAAGGAGUACGUUGGGUUGUACUUUGAGAACAUGUGAAUAUCUAAUUACCCAGUGAUUUUUACAUUCAUUGAUGAUCCUUGCCUAAAUCAGUUAUUAUUACAUGAGAGUUGCAAAAUGGUGAUUUUUCCAAUUUUAUUGUCUUUUCUCUACAUUUGUUAGUUGGCAUUCUUCUGUAAAGAAAAGCUUUCCUUAUUUUUCUCUUUGAUGUGCUCUGAUUACACAUCCUGUUUUUAUUUCAUCAUUUUAUGCUCAUGAAAUUAAAAUUUUAAUGUUUAUAAUCUUUUACUGUCACUGUUUGGAUGUUCAUAUUGCUCAGAUUUGGCCAGUGAGAUCCCCUUUGCACCAAGUUUUAUCAGCUUUUAUUAAUAACGUGAUCCAUUAGUCUCUCAGCCCUUCCUUGCCCUACAAGCCAUCUCAGGACGGCUUCAUACUUUCCCAGACUAGAACUCAGCCAUUUCUUCAAGGGGUCCUCCCUCUGUAGUGAAGGAAUGGUAUUAAAAAACCAAGAUCUGGGACUUGUUGUCCUCAUUGUUUCUUUCUAUGCCCAUUUUGACUCAGCCCCAAGCCUACUGCUAAGGAUGGAGAGGAGAUACCUGGCUCUUCAAACCCACUGAGACAAUCCCUUCAUCUUGCUCAGAUCCCUUAGUAUCGUCAACAGACAGUCAGCACUGUUUCUAGUUUUUCCACUUUCUAAGGAUGAAAAGUUGUAGUCUGCUUCCCGAAUGACUUGCUUCUCUUCCAGUUUUACCUGCUCUGUUAUAGAAGAAUCAUGGGAUUGCAGACCUCAGUUUACAAUGUUUUACUUAGAAACUGUCUUAACCAGUGAUUCUUUGCCAAUUUCAAGUCUCAGACUGUUUUGAAAAUCUGAUGAAAGUGGAUACUAGCCCUGGAAAAAUGCUCAAACACAAACAUUUUUAUAUGCAAUUUUAUCGGGUUCUUGACCUUGUAAAGCUGUUAUCUCUAUGAAACACACCUUAUAUAAGAUCCUAGUUUGUGCUCUAUCUCUGCCAUAUUAUGUAUAUACAGGGAAGCUUGGGAUGUGGGCAGGUUUAGGUGACUUCCAAAAGGCUACACAGUAGCAGAAACAAACUAGAGUCUAAGGGUUUUUGUUUUUUAUUCUCAUGAAGAACAACUGGUUUGCCCCCACUUAUAUCACAAAAAGUUCUGCAAGGUAGUGAGAACAAGAACUUCAAAUAAGAAGAAUGACUUUGUAGAGUGAAGACACCCUAGGAGUGGAUUUUUACUUUUAGAACACGAGUCCAUAGAAGCUGGGCACCUGAAUUUUCCAAUUUCAAAAGAAUAGAAUUCUUUUUUUCUUUUUUUACUGAAAUUAUGUUUUCUGUAAUUCCUUUUUCUUACUUUCUUCACCCUAAUAUUUAAUGUGAAAAGUGGUUGAUGUAUUUGGAGGCAGGAGCCAGCACAGUAUUUUGGGAAAUGAAUGGAUGAUGGAACGUUUCUCCUUCUGAACAGGCGCUUUCUCUCUUGAAUAGCACCUACUAUCAUAGGGUCUUGAUAGAUAGGUAUCUGGGUGUGACUGGUUGGUUUUAUGAAGUACUCUCAUUGCUCAUUGGGCGUCUUCUGUUAGUAUCUCUCAGUUGUCUCUGAGCCAUGUGCAGUUUUUUAGGAUUAAUGUAGUUUUUAAGGAUUUCUGCAGAAACCUUAUUAUUCAACACACCCUUGUGACCUUCAAUCUGGAAAGCCUCAGUGCAUCUCAGCCUUGCUCCAGAGAGCCAAAGCCGGCUCCAAGGCAGCACAGAUUGUAGCUGUCUGUAGGCUUUGUUUGCACAAAGGGACACUUCUAUUACAGGCUCCUUGGUAUUGCAGUGGUGGAAGAGGGAAAUGUUAACUGCUUUCUCUCUGGUGUUUUCUUGUAGUGGAAGAGUGACUGAAUACAGGCAGUCAGGAGAAUUUGAGCAAAAUGAGAUGGUUCUCAUGAUGUCUCAUCUUAUCAAUAUCUUCUGGUGUGUGUGUAUGUGUGUGUGUCUCUGUGUGUGUGCAGGUGUGGUGUAAUGCUGGAAAAAUAUAGGCUUCUUAAAUUGUAGACAAAUCAAGGAAUGAUUUUAACUCAAACAGGCUAGACUGAGAGUCUGUAAAAUAAUAAUGACUUAAUUUACUGCUUUUCAUAGAGUAUAAAAUAGUCUGCAAAACAUGACCUGCAGACCCCUGAGAACACUGAUCACAGAGCUUUUAUCACGAUACAGCAGACUUCCUGUUUCUCUCUCCUUGUGUGUAAAAGAAAUCCUUAGUCACUGCUGGUUCUGGAAUUCUUCAGUGGCAUAGAAUCGGUGCCUGGUAUUGUAAUUAAUUUGUUUACUGGGCAGAUCUUUCAUCCCGUCCCCGUAAAUGCUUCUUGACAAGGUUGACUGGAUUGUUUUCUGCUGUUGCGAGAUGCAAACAAACUGGAAAGGCAAUGACGAAGAUGUUUCAACUUUUGUUUGUAUGAAGUAGAUGGAUAAAAGCAAUAGUUCAAAUAAGAUUUAAGUAAAAAUAUUUCUUAAGUUCCUGAACCUUCCAUGUAAAAUGUUCUCUUUUAUGUUAAAAAAAAUCAAAGACCAUAUUCUGUGAUAAUUGGACAAGUGCUAAAGAUACUUUAAACUAAAUAAUAAACUUGGCUAUAUUGACUAAUGUUAUUUGAGUCAAGAGUAUUUCAGAGAUAAAAUUUUUUGAACUAGCAUUUAUUUUUCAGCAAAAGAUAUACCAAGCAUAGUUAUUUUAGGAAUCUGUUAAAAAAAAUUCUAGCAGUACUGUUGAAUUAUUUUACUUGUAAAAUUUUUUCUUAUGAUGUUCAUGGCAAGUACCUGAUUGAUUUUGAGAAAACAGAUAAGCAUUAAAACAUUUUAUGAACUGGCUUUUUGUUGUAUGGAUUUAUUAGAUAUUUAGGUGGGGGAAGAGGUGGAGAGCAAGUGGGAAAUUUGGAGCAUAUGUAGGUUUACUGUUAUUUUAUAGAUUUUUUAAAAAAUUAUUUUAUUUUAUUAUUAUUUUUAAUUAUUUUAAAUUAGAGGAUAAUUACUUUAUAAUAUUGUAAUUUUUUUCAUACAUCAACAUGAAUCAGCCAUAGGUAGACAUAUGUCCGCUCCCUCUUGAACCCCCUUCCCACCUCCCUCCUCAUCCCACCCCUCUAGUUUGUGACAGAGCACUGGCUUUGGGUUGCUGAUGUUUUAGGCUUGUCGGAGAAAUUCUCCAUAACUGUUUACUUCCUCCCUGCUCUGCUGCACUGUGGGGCUGCUGCCACCAGGUGGAUGCUGGUGCCUAGGCAUGGCUACACGGUCCAAACUGGAAGGCAGUGAUUCAGCAAUUUAACAAGUGUUUAUUGAACACUAUGCAGCAAUGUGGAUGGACCUACAGAUUAUCAUACUAAGUGAUGUAAGUCAGAAAGAGAAAGACAAAUACCAUGUGAUAUUACGUAUAUGUGGAAACUAAAAUAUGACACAGAUGAAGCUAUCUAAGAAACAGACUCAAAAACAUAGAGAACAGACUUGUGUUUGCCAAGGGGCAGGGGGUAAGAGAGGGGUGGAUUGGGAGUUUGGGAUUAACAGAUGCACACUAACUCUUACGUAUAGAAUGGAUAAACAACAAGGACCCUACUGUCGUGUACAGGGAACUAUAUUCAAUAUCCUAUAAUAAGCCGUAAUGGAAAAGAAAAAAGCAUCAGUCAAUCCUCCCUUUUCUAGCUCUCUGUAUCUAUUUUAUUUAUAUAUUUGUCUGUCUAGCUAAUCUAUCUAUAUCUAUCUUAUCAUCCAUCGGAAUUAAGGACUUCAAGGUAGCUUGGAGUUAAGACUUUGUAUUCUAUUUAAUUUUUGCAUUGCACAGUGCUUGUCUUUUUAUCUUUCUGAGACAAAAUUGACUUUCAGCCAUCUUGACUUGCACCCCACCCUCUUGAAGCUGGCUUAGUCAGGUCACCAUCUCCUUGUUACUAAAUCUCAUAGACACUUCUCAGUGCACAUGUUUCUUGAAAAGAUUAUGUCACUUCUCUGCUUAGAACCAUUUGUGACCUCACUGCUUUUAGGAUGAAGUUCCAGCUCUUUAAUAUGGCCACAUCUGACCCUGCUCGUGCUUCCAGAGCUUCAUCUCUUACCAUGCUUCUCCGCUCACUGUUAUGAUCCCAAACAACUGACCUUCUUUCAGUCUUUUGAAUGCACUCUGUCUCCCUCACCUCCAGGAAUUGCUCUUUCCUCUGUCCUCUUUCAACACCUCUGCUGCCCACUCCUGUUCAUCCCUUCAGUCUGAGUUCAGACUUAUGCUUUCCUUUUAAAGAAACUAAACCCCAGUCAUGUCCAAAUAAUCCAUCCUGUUUCUCCAGUCUCAAUUCCAGCCCCUCUUAAUCUCAACAAUCAUUAUUCUGGACUAUCCUAUAAACUCCCUAAUUGGUGUUUCUACUUCUGCUCUUCCCGUCUGCGUAAUCCAUUCUCUACAUAUUCAUAAGAAUCAUCUUUUAAAAAUAUAACUGGGAUCGUAUCACUUUUAUUUAAAACUCUCCAGAGGCUUAGCAUGUAAUUCAGCUCAGGUGAGAUCAGGGUACCUUAACACUUUAUAGACACAAACUUCACUCUCACCCUUGGUUGCAUGCUCAGUUAUCAAAUAGGCAUCCAGGUGAUUCAGUAUGUACUUACCUAAUUUUAAAGAAUGUUAUUAGAGUAAAAAUACAAAGCUAAAAAUUUCUUGCAGAAAAUGUUCAGACUUCGGCAGCACCUUCCCUCUUUGAAAAAACACACUAGCUCAAGCCUUCCUCUGGCACCUCUGCCCACCUCACCAGUCUGGAUGAUGAACCUGUUUUCCAUAGGACUCAUUUCCAAUGAUGUCUUUAAGUUCUAGUCGUCUUCUUACUCUAAUUCCAUCUCUGACCUCUAGUGCUGUGCUUAUUAGCUCAGUAAAUAUUUUUUCAGUUGACUAGUUGAAAUCUGACACUUUCCCAUACUUGGCUCUGGUUCUCUCCCCUGGAAGACCUGGCAUCUCUACUGUUAUCAUGUACAGUGUUCUGUCAUUAUCACGCUUUCUGUCAUUUUAUAAUAUUAUUGUAAAUAAUUCUGUCAUAAGAGUAGUAACAUGUUCAUUUGGAACAUUUUUAAGGUUUCAAAAAAUGGUGAAAUUUAAGGUUUCAAAUGAAAAUGAACUAUAUUCUUGCUAAUGACAUGUAUGUGCCUGGCAUAUGUUAUAUACUAGUACUAGGGUUGAACUGAAUGAGCUAAGUGGAUAACUGCCUUUAUUACCUUUUAAUAUUUUUCUAUUGUUCUUAUAACUAUACUGUUUAUACUAUUUAGAAUUCUUUUUAAAAACAUAAUAAGUAUUGGCCAAUGUUUCACAAAUAUAACUUUUCAUGGCUGCCUGAUACUAUCUUCAUGGACUAAUUACCAUAUUAUACAUAAUUGAUUUGGAAAAUUUUAUUGUCUACCAUGUGCCAUGAGUGUCUAAUGGUGAGUAAGACAUAACCCUUUACCUAGAGGCACUUCUGGACUAGCACAUAGGGAGGAAGAAAGUGAAGAGACAGUUACAUCCCCAUAUUUUAGAUGUUAGGUUAUUUCCAAAAUUUCAAUAUGAGUCUUGACGUAUGCUUGACAAAAUGCAUUCUAGGUAUUAUGGCAACAACCUUCCCACCACUGAAAAAGACCUAGAAUUCAGAGCGCAGAAUAGGGUUGGAAUAUUCCACAUCUAGCUGUGUCUGAGCCUGUUAGUUCCUCUUAACUGCGAGGAUUAAGUUCCUAAGUUCCUGUCACAGUUUGGACUUGUGCCGUUCAGUAUGGUAACCACUAGUCACUAGUCACCACUACGGAACACGUGAGCUGUGCUGUCAGUGUAAAAUCCGCACUGGAUUUGAAAGAUUUGCUGCAAAGAAGGAAUGGUAGACUAUCUCAGUAAUAAUUUUUAUGCUGGUUAAAUCUUAAAAUGGUGGUAUUUUGAAUAUACAUUUUAGCCUCAUCUGUUUUAUUUCAGUGUGGCUACUAGGUGAUUUCAGAUUACAUAUGUGACUCACAUCAUGUUUCUCCUGGGCAGUGCUGUUACAGAUCUUCAGUAAAUGUUGGGUGAAUAUCAGCGUCACAUACUUAGCUCCUCCUUCUGGACCUUUACCUCCUGCGUGUGUUUCCUUCUUUCCCCCUCUGUCUCUCCCUCCCUGUCUGUCUCUUUUCUCCCCCUUUCCACCUCUACUUUCAGGAAAGAGAUUAGUCAUUUGUCAGUUUCUGAGCCUCAUUUCCUCCUAUGUAAAAUGGAGAUGGUAAUGCUUGUCUAACUGCCCCAUAGGUUUCUUUCUUGUAGCGAUAAAAUAAAGCGGUGCAUAAAAAGUGCUUUGUGAGUCAUAAAGCAGUGUGCAAAUGAAAUGCAUCAUCAUGCCUUUGUGUCUGCACUUUAGUAUGAAUUUAAACCCCACCAUGAAUUUAAACUCAUAAGUUAAAUCUGGUAAUAGAAUGAAGGAUUUUAUCUCCUGCUUGGGCUUCCACAUUGUGUAACCUUAGCAGACGGGUCCAACUUCCUGGUCCGGCCUGAUAGACUGGUCCAAGUUACUUACCCUCUCCAAGCCUUAGUUUCCUCAUCUUCAAAUAGGUGCUCUAAUGUUUUGCAAAGUUAUUUAAUGAGUUGACCUAAUGUGUUACAGAACACUUGCCUGACAUGUUGCAGAUGAUUAAUAAAUUGUCCCUCCCUUCCCUCAUGCCUGGGCUUCCCUGGUGGCUCAGAGGGUAAAGCAUCUGCCUGCAGUGCGGGAGGCCCAGGUUUGAUCCCUGGGUCAGGAAGAUCCCCUGGGGAAGGAGAUGGCAACCCAUUCCAGUUCUCUUGCCUGGAAAAUCCCAGGGACAGAGAAGCCUGGUAGGCUACAGUCCAUAGGGUCACAAAGAGUCUGGCACGACUUUGCGACUUCACUUUCCCUUUCCCUCAUGCCUGUUUCUAGAGAGAGUCAGAGGUUGUCUGGGAAUCAAGAGUCAUCUAAAAAUGGUCCUGAAAUCAUACUUAGGCACGAGUGGUGGCUUAUUUGCUCCUGGUUUACUCUCUACCCCAAACAUAGUGACAGACAUGAAACUGGAUAUAAUAAAGAUUUCAGUGCAGUCCUUUGAGUUCGAGUUGUAUUUCUGUAGAGUGGAGUUUUCUGCAGAGUCUGCUUCUGUGAGCAGGAGAUUAUGAAUUUAAUAAAUUCAGGGAGAUACUCUUCCAAACUUUUUCAAGCAGGACUCCUUACUGUAUUGAAUAAUACAAUCUUUUAAAAUAUUUAGUGCUUUUUCAUAUUAAAAAUGGAGAAAGCAAUGGCAACUCACUUCAGUACUCUUGCCUGGAAAAUCCCGUGGAUGGAGGAGUCUGGUAGGCUGCAGUCCAUGGGGUCGCUAAGAGUCGGGCACAACUGAGUGACUUCACUUUCACUUUUCACUUUCCUGCAUUGGAGAAGGAAAUGGCAGCCCACUCCAGUAUUCUUGCCUGGAGAAUCCCAGGGAUGGGGGAGCCUGGUGGGCUGCCAUCUAUGGGGUCGCACAGAGUCGGACACGACUGAGGUGACUUAGCAGCAGCAGAAGCAGCAUAUUAUAAAAAUAAAACAUUCUCAUUAUAACAGUUUGAAAUGCAGAAACUCUUGAGACAGUAAAAACACACCUAUAAAUUCCAUCUCCCAAAACCAACUCCAUGGUAGCUCAGUUGGUAAAAAAUCUGCUUGCAGUGCAGGAAACUCGGGUUCGAUCCCUGGGUCUGGAAGACCCCCUGGAAAAGGAAAUGGCAACCCAUUCCAGGAUUCUUGCCUGGAAGAUCCUAUGGACAGAGGAGCCUGGCAGGCUACAGUCCAUGGGGUUGCAAGAGUUAUACAUAACUUAACAACUAAACCACUACCAAAAGUUAAUAUUGUAGUUUAUAUUUUCUAAAAUUGUCUAUGGACAUGUACC